AGUACAGUGGCGCACGGGUGAGUAACACGUAGGUGACCUACCUAUCGCUGGGGAACAAGCCUGGGAAACCGGAGCUAAUUCCGCAUACGCUUUCCAACUCGCGGGUUGGAAAGGAAAGAUGGCCUCUUCAUGAAAGCUAUCGGCGAAUGAUGGGCCUGCGCGUCAUUAGCUUGUUGGUGAGGUAACGGCUCACCAAGGCUGCGAUGACUAGCUGGUCUGAGAGGAUGAUCAGCCACACUGGCACUGGAACACGGGCCAGACUCCUACGGGAGGCAGCAGUGGGGAAUAUUGCGCAAUGGGCGAAAGCCUGACGCAGCAACGCCGCGUGAGUGACGAAGGCCUUCGGGUCGUAAAGCUCUGUCGAGAGGGACGAAACACCGGUGGGAACAAUACCUCGCCGGUUUGACGGUACCUCCAAAGGAAGCACCGGCUAACUCCGUGCCAGCAGCCGCUGUAAUACGGAGGGUGCAAGCGUUGUUCGGAAUUACUGGGCGUAAAGGGCGUGUAGGCGGAUCAAGAAGUCGGGUGUGAAAGCCCUGGGCUCAACCCAGGAAGUGCGCCCGAAACCAUUGGUCUUGAGUUCCAGAGGGGAGCGGGGAAUUCCCAGUGUAAAGGUAAAAUUCGUAGAUAUUGGGAAGAACACCGGUGCCGAAGGGGCCGCUCUGGAUGGAUACUGACGCUGAGGCGCGAAAGCGUGGGGAGCAAACAGGAUUAGAUACCCCUGGUAGUCCACGCUGUAAACGAUGUGCACUAGGUGUCGGGGGUAUUGACCCCCCCCGGUGCCGCCGCUAACGCAUUAAGUGCACCGCCUGGGGAGUACGGCCGCAAGGCUGAAACUCAAAGGAAUUGACGGGGGCCCGCACAAGCGGUGGAGUAUGUGGUUCAAUUCGACGCAACGCGCAGAACAUUACCUGGGCUUGACAUCUGGGGAAGCCCCUAGAGAUAGGGAUGUGCCCUUCGGGGAACCCCAUGACAGGUGCUGCAUGGCUG
rnacentral:rRNA from 1 species